rnacentral:tRNA from 1 species
GCCUGGGUGGCUCAGUCGGUUGAGCGUCCGACUUCGGCUCGGGUCACGAUCUCGCAGUUUGUGAGUUCUAGCCCCGCGUCGGGCU